CCCUUAGAUGUUCUGGGCCGCACGCGCGCUACACUGAUGCAUUCAACGAGUCUAAAACCUGGUCUGAUAGGGCUGGGUAAUCUUUUGAAAGUGCAUCGUGAUUGGGAUAGAUGAUUGCAAUUCUUCAUCUUCAACGAGGAAUGCCUAGUAAACGCAAGUCAUCAGCUUGCAUUGAUUACGUCCCUGCCCUUUGUACACACCGCCCGUCGCUCCUACCGAUUGAAUGAUCCGAUGAAUACCAUGGAUUGAGAGUACGAAUGGGUUCGAUCAUUUCUGCUGCUCGAGAAGUGGAGUAAAUCUUAUCAUUUAGAGGAAGGAGAAGUCGUAACA
rnacentral:rRNA from 1 species